GGGAGCCAGUAAACAGCUAAUGCCAUGACGAUGUGAGGUGGGCGGGGGCCUGGUUCCCCCCAGUGUCAUGCACUACCUUCCGUUUUCUGCCGGUUGAAUGUUAAAUAAAUCUACAUGCAAAUUCACAAAGAGCCCUUUCAUUCUUGGGGCAUACAAAAACGCAGAAUUAGGCCUGAAGUUCUGAGUCCCUUCUACCUUCCAUCGGCUGAAUGAGCUACAGGAAUUCACUUAAUAGGCCUUUGGAAGGAUCCUUCGUGGCAAACCCGACCGUGACCGCCACUGGGCCAGCCUCAGCGGGACCCCUCUGUCCUCCCGACUGCUCCCGUGCCCCAGCUUGUCUGAAUUACGUGAUGAUCUGAGGCCAGUACAGAGGUCUCCCUCCUUUGGAACUAGUCUCUUGGGUUGAGUCCAAUAAGCACAUCAUCUUCCCCAGCUCUACAGACUGGCUCCAGUUUUGAGACCUUUCAGACUUUUCCAUUUUGUGAUUUCUUAGCUUCGUGUGUUAGGGAAGUUUGAACUUCAUUUGUAUUGUCACCUUAAUUAACAUGGCUGGACCAGAAUCCAGUAGACCACGUUAGUCAACACUGGACAAGGAGGAAGAGUCGGAGGUGCAUGAUCUCAGCUCUGAGGGUUAUAUGCAUUCUCCCUGCUCAUGUCCCAGAAACGCUUCAUUCCUCGAGAGUUUCAGCAGAAAAAAGCCCUCAUGAAUCUAGGGAAUGGCAUUAGCUACAUGAGUGUUUUUAAGUGGAUUUUUGUUUCCAGAUACUGCUCAGCCUCUUCAAUUCUAUUUCUUAACUUUAAAAAAUUACAAACUCUUUCUUUUUUUUUUUUCUUUUUUUUUUUUGAGACAGAGUCUCACUCUGUCACCCAGGCUGAGUGCAAUAGUGCAAUCACAGCUCACUGCAGCUUCCAACACCUGGGCUCAAGAGAUUCUCUAGCUUCAGCCUUCUAAGUAGCUGAGACUUUAGGUGCGUGGCACAUGGCUAUUUUUUUUUCUUUUUUCUUUCUUUUUUUUUUUUUUUUUUGUUGUUGUUGUUGUAGAGAUGGGGGUCUCACUAUGUUACCCAGGCUGGUCACGAACUCCUGGCCUCAAAUGAUCCUCCUGCCUCAGUCUCCCAAAGUGCUGGGAUUACGGCCGUGAUCCUGGUUUGGCCAACUUUCUUUUCUUCACAACUAUUUUUUAUAUGAAGAUUUGGCCCUUAGCAUUAGAGCCUGGAAAGGGCAAAGAGGAACCGAGGAUGAUGAGAAGUUGGUUAAUAGAUACAGAAUUACAGCUAGAUAGAAGAAAUGAGUUCCGGUGUUUUGUAGCACUGUAGGAUAAAUAUGGUUAACUAUCAUUUAUUGUAUACUCUCAAAAAGCUAGAAGAGAGGAUUUUGAAUGUUCAUAACACAGAGAAAUGAUAAUCGUUUGAGGCAAUGGAUAUUCAAACUAGCCCGAUAUGAUCAUUAUACAUUGUAUGCAUGUAAUGAAAUAUCACUCUAUAUCCUAUGAGUAUGUACAAUGAUCAUGUGUCAACUAAAAAUAAGAGAAAACAGCAUGUUAGCCCUCAAAAUGAAAUUUUUAAAAGGAGAACAAUUAUGCCAUAUCCUCUUAGGAUCUGAAUCUCAAUGUGUCACCUACAUGAAGGAUUUUUUACAACUCUAGGUGUAAGUUGAAAGAGGAAAGUAUCCUGAAAAUCGUUGCCUAAUGUUGGCAUCCCUUAUAUUCCAUAUAAGCACUGAAAUUACUCAAGGAGAAGGAUUUGGUCUCUUUCUCUGAACCUACAUAGAACUUGUCAAUUUAAUUUAAUUUAAAUUUAUUUUAACCUAUAAUUUUUAUUUUAAUUCAUUAUCACACCAAUAUCAUAGUGAGAGAUUUGAGCUAUCAGAGUGUGUGAAGGUUAAUUCUGUAUCUAUUAUAUAUUUAAAAUAUUUAAUCAGAAAUCUAAGGCUUGGUUAAAUGUUGCAGCAUGUAACUCCAACACAUUCUAAUUCCAACUGGUCAAAUUAUUAAAGUCAGAGCAACGUA